CCUACGGGGGGCAGCAGUGAGGAAUAUUGGUCAAUGGACGAGAGUCUGAACCAGCCAAGUAGCGUGAAGGAUGACUGCCCUAUGGGUUGUAAACUUCUUUUAUAUGGGAAUAAAACGUUCCACGUGUGGGAUUUUGUAUGUACCAUAUGAAUAAGGAUCGGCUAACUCCGUGCCAGCAGCCGCGGUAAUACGGAGGAUCCGAGCGUUAUCCGGGUUUAUUGGGUUUAAAGGGAGCGUAGGUGGAUUGUUAAGUCAGUUGUGAAAGUUUGCGGCUCAACCGUAAAAUUGCAGUUGAAACUGGCAGUCUUGAGUACAGUAGAGGUGGGCGGAAUUCGUGGUGUAGCGGUGAAAUGCUUAGAUAUCACGAAGAACUCCGAUUGCGAAGGCAGUUCACUGGACUGCAACUGACACUGAGGCUCGAAAGUGUGGGUAUCAAACAGGAUUAGAUACCCGUGUAGUC
rnacentral:rRNA from 1 species